rnacentral:rRNA from 1 species
GACGAACGCUGGCGGCGUGCUUAACACAUGCAAGUCGAACGGAAAGGCCCAGCUUGCUGGGUGCUCGAGUGGCGAACGGGUGAGUAACACGUGGGUGAUCUGCCCCUAACUUCGGGAUAAGCUUGGGAAACUGGGUCUAAUACCGGAUAGGACAAUCGUUUAGUGUCGGUUGCGGAAAGUUUUUUCGGUUAGGGAUGAGCCCGCGGCCUAUCAGCUUGUUGGUGGGGUAAUGGCCUACCAAGGCGUCGACGGGUAGCCGGCCUGAGAGGGUGGACGGCCACAUUGGGACUGAGAUACGGCCCAGACUCCUACGGGAGGCAGCAGUGGGGAAUAUUGCACAAUGGGCGCAAGCCUGAUGCAGCGACGCCGCGUGGGGGAUGACGGCCUUCGGGUUGUAAACCUCUUUCGACAGGGACGAAGCUUUGGUGACGGCACCUGUAUAAGAAGCACCGGCUAACUACGUG